GCCGGGCAUUGUGACGGGCGCCUGUAGUCCCAGCUACUUGGGAGGCUGAGGCAGGAGACUCGCUUGAGUCCAGAAGUUAGAGGUUGCUGUGAGCUGUGAUGCCACAGCACUCUACCCAGGUGGACAGCUUGAGGCUCUGUCUCAAAGAAAAAAAAAAAAAGAAUGAACCUCAAAUAGAAGGGAAAGGAAUCUUCUUCCUCUAAAAUAGGGGGAGGAAAUUUCAGGUAUAGAAAUUUUUUUUUUUUUUUUUUGGAGACAGAGCCUCAAGCUGUUGCCCUGGGUAGAGUGCCGUGGCAUCACAGCUCACAGCAACCUCCAACUCCUGGGCUCAAGCGAGUCUCCUGCAUCAG
rfam:Otolemur garnettii contig172400, whole genome shotgun sequence.